GGUUGUGAGGGUGGUCUGGCUGCAACAUCUGUCAUGCGGUUAAUUGCCUGGGUUGAUUCAGCUGAACUGGUUGGCUGGGUGGGUUUCCCUCUCACUGCUUCAUGUGCGUCCCUCCUGAAGCUGUAUGCUUGGUUGAAGAGGAUGACCUUUCCCAAUAGAGAAGAACCAUUUAUCAGUCAAGGGUAUAUGAGUAUCUGUGCUCCCCUGCUAGCACCUCCAAACAAGCUCUCAAGGUCCAUUUGUAGGAAAAUGUAGGGUAGUCAAGCUUCCAAGACUCUAGACACAUCCAAAUUAAGUGCUGCAUGUGGCAGUCUGCCUUUUU
ensembl:misc_RNA 7SK 7SK RNA